GGUAGGAUGGCUGAAGGUUUAAGCGGUGGAUUGUAGUCCCAAGUAUAUAGGUUAAAAUCCUUUUCUUAUCA
rnacentral:tRNA from 1 species